rnacentral:tRNA from 2 species
AGUAUUACGCCGGAUGAACGGAAAUCAUUGAUGUUGAUUAAUAUGUAAUAAUAUUUAUUUCUAAUACUA